AUGACGUCAAAGCAUCAUGCCCCUUAUGUCCAGGGCUUCACACAUGCUACAAUGGCCGGUACAAAGGGCUGCGAUGCCGUGAGGUUUAGCGAAUCCUUUAAAGCCGGUCUCAGUUCGGAUCGGGGUCUGCAACUCGACCCCGUGAAGUCGGAGUCGCUAGUAAUCGCAGAUCAGCAACGCUGCGGUGAAUACGUUCCCGGGCCUUGUACACACCGCCCGUCACGUCAUGAAAGUCGGUAACACCCGAAGCCGGUGGCCUAACCCUUGGGAGGGAGCCGUCGAAGGUGGGAUCGGCGAUUGGGACGAAGUCGUAACAAGGUAGCCGUACCGGAAGGUGCGCUGGGAUC
rnacentral:rRNA from 1 species